rnacentral:rRNA from 1 species
AGUGAACGCUGGCGGCAGGCCUAAUACAUGCAAGUCGAACGGCAGCACAGCAGAGCUUGCUCUGUGGGUGGCGAGUGGCGGACGGGUGAGGAAUACGUGGGAAUCUGCCCAGUCGUGGGGGAUAACGUAGGGAAACUUACGCUAAUACCGCAUGCGCCCUUCGGGGAAGCGGGACCUUCGGCCUGGCGCGAUUGGAUGAGCCCACGUCGGAUUAGCUAGUUGGCGGGGUAAAGGCCCACCAAGGCGACGAUCCGUAGCUGGUCUGAGAGGAUGAUCAGCCACACUGGAACUGAGACACGGUCCAGACUCCUACGGGAGGCAGCAGUAGGGAAUAUUGGACAAUGGGCGCAAGCCUGAUCCAGCCAUGCCGCGUGAGUGAAGAAGGCCCUCGGGUUGUAAAGCUCUUUUGUCCGGAAAGAAAAGCGCCGGGUUAAUACCCUGGUGUCCUGACGGUACCGGAAGAAUAAGCACCGGCUAACUUCGUGCCAGCAGCCG